rnacentral:misc_RNA from 1 species
UGUAGGAGCUGUCGAGUGCAACAAGGCUGCGAUCCUUUGAUCUUGCCUUUCAAGAUCGCAGCCUCGUUGCACUCGACAGCUCCUACA